rnacentral:rRNA from 1 species
ACUCUUACGGGAGGCAGCAGUGGGGAAUAUUGCACAAUGGGCGCAAGCCUGAUGCAGCCAUGCCGCGUGUAUGAAGAAGGCCUUCGGGUUGUAAAGUACUUUCAGCAGUGAGGAAGGUGGGUAUGUUAAUAGCAUAUUCAUUUGACGUUAGCUGCAGAAGAAGCACCGGCUAACUCCGUGCCAGCAGCCGCGGUAAUACGGAGGGUGCGAGCGUUAAUCGGAAUUACUGGGCGUAAAGCGCAUGCAGGUGGUUUGUUAAGUCAGAUGUGAAAGCCCGGGGCUCAACCUCGGAAUUGCAUUUGAAACUGGCAAACUAGAGUACUGUAGAGGGGGUAGAAUUUCAGGUGUAGCGGUGAAAUGCGUAGAGAUCUGAAGGAAUACCGGUGGCGAAGGCGGCCCCCUGGACAGAUACUGACACUCAGAUGCGAAAGCGUGGGGAGCAAACAGGAUUAGAUACCCUGGUAG